UCAGGAGGAGUGUUCUUCAGAAUUUGAACUCUAAAAUGAUUUUUCCCCUUGGUCUCUUCUUCAGCAUGAAGAAUCUCAGUGCUUUCAGUCUAUCCUCAGAGGUGAUGUUUUAGAGAUUUCAGCUGUGCCUGUUGCUUUUUGUUAGGCUCUGGAAUUUGUCCAAAUCUCUCUUAAAAUGUACCCGGAUUAAACACAGUACUGCAGCCCUGAAGUUCUUUGAGAUGGUUCAAAGGAGGAUCACAAAAGCAGAACAGCAGAAGAGUUACAAGGUAGAUAAGAGGGCAUUUCCCUUCAACCACAGGAGCACCUGCAGAAGAAGCUUGGACAGAGCUCUGAAGAAAAAUGCAGAGGAACCACAGUCACUGAAAGAAAGUUUUCUUUCUCCUUCAAUACUCAUCCAUAUGCAUUAACAUUGUGGGUGAUCCCAUGCACUUCAGAUACUUGCUAAUUAUCUAAAGCCAAAAGGGAGAAGUGUAGCCUUCUCAAUACACUGUCCAAAUGGGCAGCUGAAAUGAAAGAAGCAAGAUAAAACUGAACCAGAGCAAGAGAAAAUGCUUUAGAAGAAAAGCCCUGGUCAUCCAAUGCACCUGCACACUGAGGACAGGCAAGAAAACAGUUCAGCUUGUCAACACUGGGUGCAACUAUUCUGUCCCAGCCAGCCCCAGCCCCACCUCAGUUUGCUUGCUGAGCGAGGAAGGAGGCAUCUUCAUGGCUCAGAAUCCUCACUGGACAGAUGGCUGCUGCCUCUUGGCCCUUGGCUGGCCACAUGAAUGGGUCUGGAGCAGUGUACAACCUUCAGACACUGUUUUCUGUGGGCCUGGCUGAGAGUAUGUCAGUUCUUGUCUUCAGAACCUUUUGACUCCUUCAGUGCUACUGAUUACCCAAGUGAGAGCAAAAAAUAAAUAAAUAAAUAUAAAUUUGAAAAAAAAAAUUACCUUAA